UGACCAUUUUCAAUAACAUAUUCUUGUUUUACAUCACAGAUCAAAAUUGUACCUCGGAUUGCUCAAGUAGUCCUUGUUUGCCUUAUGAAAAACCAGAAUGUUUGAAGGGUGAAUGUUUGUGCAUGUAUACUAAUUAAGUUGAAAAUAAUUUUUACUUCUAUGCCUACAGUUCUUCUUAAAUGUCAUAGUGAAGAUUGUCAUUUCUUCCAGUCCUAAAUAUAAGAAACAAAACACUUUUUAAAUUCAUUAAAAAAUUGAUGUAUUUAAUUUAUAAUAUUAGACUAAAAUGUGUUGUUUCUUAUAUUUAGGACCAAAGAGUACUAUAUUUCUCUAGCCUUUUAAUUUCUUUGACAUGACAAGCGGAAUAAAACAAGUCACAUAAAUAACCAUAUGAAUCAUAUUUUUUCAAUACAAACAAAAAUAAUGUUAUUUAAUUACAUUCUCCACUUUACUUUUCAUUGGGUUUACAAUAUUACUUUUCUUUGGAUUUACGGUAUUAUAGGUACGAAGUUUCUAUCAUAUAUUGUUAAUUAAUUAGCGGUGAUUAAUAUCCGU
rnacentral:lncRNA from 1 species